CAUUUAUUAGAUAAAAAGCCAGUUCAUGCUUUUACAGUAUGAAAAUUGGUGAUUUAUAAUAACUUAGCAAAUCGCAAAGUGAAAACAGGCGAUAAAUCAUUCAAGUUUCUGACCUAUCAGCUUUCGACGGUAUGGUAUUGGCUUACCGUGGCAGUGACGGUUAACGGGGGAUUAGGGUUCGAUUCCGGAGAGGGAGCCUGAGAAACGGCUACCACAUCUAAGGAAGGCAGCAGGCGCGCAAAUUACCCAAUUCUAACAGUUUGAGAGAGGUAGUAACAAGAAAUAACAAUACAAGGCAGUUAAAAUGCUUUGUAAUUGGAAUGAUAGAAAUUUAAACCCUUUUUAAAGUAUCAAUUGGAGGGCAAGUCUGGUGCCAGCAGCCGCGGUAAUUCCAGCUCCAAUAGCGUAUAUUAAAAUUGUUGCAGUUAAAAAGCUCGUAGUUGAAGUUCUGCUGAAAGUAACCGGUCUGCUUUUAAUAAAAGUGGUAUCUUGGUAUGUAUUUAGCAAUGAUGUCCUUUGAAGUGUUUUUUACUUUAUUGUAAUAAAGCAUAUUCAGGACUUUUACUUUGAGAAAAUUAGAGUGUUUCUAGCAGGCUAACGCUUUGAAUACUGCAGCAUGGAAAUAA
rnacentral:rRNA from 1 species